UGGAACCAGAACAUAAUAGCCCCCCCCCCUCCAGCCCCCCAGCCUCCCUGCCGCUAGCUGCUCGCCGUCGCCGGUCGCCGCCGUCGCCUCCGUCAAGGCCAAUCUUGCCGCCUCACCGCUCCUGCCACCGCACGGUUCCGCCGUCGACUCCCACGAAUUUGCAAGAAUGAGUGAUAAUCGAUCGUGGAUGUACGCGAGAUACAAUGAUCGUGCUGCACUUGAAACGGGACUUGAGAGUUUCCUCGAGUUUGCGAUAAAUCAUACGGCGUAUACAGAUGGAAUUGGUAACAUUAGG